ACACUGAAGCUGUCACCAGUUUCAUCUGCCUUGGUGUCCCAUAAGCACAGCCAGCUCUGGUUCCCUGAGAUAUUCAAAGUGUCAGAGUCCAUCAAAACGCAGAAAACCAGUGGAAGAGAAUUCUUUAGGACUCAACUGGUUUCAUUCCCC